CUUUUCCCCAUUUUCCUCUGAGACGGAGAUUGAGAGGGUACUGCAAAGCAUGAAGCCACGUAGGUACCGGCAGCUGCUACGGAUCGUUCCCCUUAGAACCUCAUGGCGCCACAAUAGAGGUUAAAAGAAGCCAAGAGGGGAGAAGGAAAAAGAACAGAACGAGUUAACUGGAAAAAAUAGCUAGCAAGCUCAGUCCAAAGAUAAGACGCUGGCCCCAUCCAAGGGCACUGCCCGCAGCUAAGACUUGGCUGACAGCCAAGAAAAGGGGGGCCUGAAUGUGCCCAAGCAACUAUGAGAUCUGCAAAACACUGCCAGGCAUUAAUGAAAUGUGUUAGGUUGUUCUUUUCUCACAGAUAAAAGCAGUGCUAACCAAAGACCCUAGGAGCCCUGCCAUUCAUUGAAACAAGGGGACUGAGUCUACGUAAAGUCCAUCAACGAAAGACUGCUUUGGCUCCACACUGGAAAGGCCCUUUCCAAGUCCUGUUAACCACCAACACCGCUGUGAAGUGCCAAGGACUGCCUGCUUGGACCCAUGCUUCUCACUGUAAAAAGACCCCUCCACCUCGGGAGGACUCUCCGACUGAUAAUAAGCCUAUUUCUAGCUCUGCUGUGCCUUCUGGACAGCAGGAAAAAAAAAGACAAGGUGAAGUGCUAGUAACCUCUCCCUUGUCCACUGACAGACCUACUGUGCCUUUGGAUUUUUCUAGAAGAAGCAAAACCAUUACAGAGUGAUGUGCUAGUAACCUCUCCCCUGUAUGAUGCUAAACCACACUGUUUCAAGAAAAGAGAAGAAGAAACACUUGCUUCAUUGAAACCACAAAGUCCAGGGAUUCCUGACUACAAGCAACAUUAAGUACUGACCCUGGUGAAGAAACAAAGAGUUAUACACUGGCAGGAAGAAACUUGUGGGGCCCAUGCUUGGGAACGUGGUAUUGAUUGGAUUUUGGGGUUUAUUCUACAGGCUGCGCCCUGUGUUUUGGAUAAGUCCUUCAGUAUGUAUUGCCCUCCCUAAUUGGAUUUUAAAUGAUAAGUAUCAAAGGCACCUUGUUGCCAUUGCCCCUGCUAUCUCCUCCAUUACACUAUUACCCCUGUAACACAUCCAAAUACAGACAAUGUCAUAUAUUUGAUAAAACCAAUGACUAAGGCCUUCACAUUUUAGUGAUUUAUUUAAAUAUUGUUUGAAAAAAAUAUGUUUAAGGUUCAGGAUAUCCCAUAUAAGCGAACAAUUGAAUGGAUCAGGGAAGAUAAAAGUAUAUGAUAUCACUACCAGUGAACCCCAAGAAUCUGUAAUUGCAAUUGAUGGGUUCUAUAGCGAAUGUUCCUGGAAUUUGCACUGUGUUAAAAGAGAGAGGCCCUUAUUGUUAUUUGGUCAUCCAAUUAGUGAACAAUUAAACGAAUACCCAGAGUUUGUUUUGCCACUGGAAAUUUUACCUGCAUAGAAAUUAUUUCAGUGACUAAUAAUGUGACCUGUACCUUAUUGCAAUACACCCCUUCUUAUGCCAUUAAUAUCAAUGCCUCCCGGAAGUACAUAAAGGUGUUCAACCAACAGAUGUGGUAUAGUACUACACCAAAGAGAGAUGUAUUAGGAUAUCAAUGGACUGUGAUUAACACUACACUAGGGACUGUUAAAUUUUCAUUGCCCUUAUCCAGUUUCCAGAUUACCUCUACAUACCCAAAUUGCUCACAGGGGGCUGCCAUUAGAUUAGCACAACAGAGGGCUUGGGUUAUUUCUUCUAGAAAGAAGAGAGACUUGACCGGAUCCCUAUGGGAUGGGGCCAAUAGUGCAGCAGCAGUUUGGAAUAUUUUUAAGAACCAAGAACAUGAUGAGAAAUUGGGGCAACUAAAGAAGGCCAUUGGCCUUGUUUCUGGAGCACAACUAACCCAGGUACAGGCUGGAGUUGGUGAGUUACAUGUUAUUUCCGCCCUUAGUUCAAUGACCCAGAAGUUGCUGACAGAGAUGGUAUUGAAUAUCACUGAGGCUGGGAAGGCAUUGCAGUGGCAUCUAGCAUGUUCAGAAAUUCAGGAUUUCCUGAAUGACCCGCUAAUGGCCAUUCGGAAUGAUCUAGAGCAUCAGGCUUGGCCCACUGCCCUUACAGACACAUCAGGAGUACCACCUGAUCUGUGGCCAUGGAGACAUUCUUGGAGACUUUCUGGGUGGAAGUGCAGACGUUCUCAGUGCUCCUUCCAAGCAUAUGGAUUGGUUGGGGGGUUGUGGGCUCCCACAUACUGAAUCCUGCUGGGUCCAUGGGGAGGAUGCAUGUGGGAUUGGGUAAUUCACCGAGACAUCUGGGAAAUUAGACCUCCUGGUAUGCCCAAUCGAUUUUUAGUCAGUGCUCCUGGGAUUACAUCUGACAUUUGGAUGGGGUUAGGGAGUCAAUGGACGUUAGAACCCCCACAGCUUCAGUGUAUCCGUAAACUGAAGCCAGGAGAAGUUGUUACUCUUCAUGACUACGUUUGCUGGGAGGGUAGGGGACAAGGAACUACCCUGACAGGACACUUACUUUUUUCAAGCUAAUGAUAGCUGUGUAUAUGUUAAAACCACCACAUUGCAAGACAUAUAUUUUAAUCUCAUUACCACUGCAGGCAAUCAUAUUAUUUACUGGCCUGCAGAUAGAAUUUUGCAAGUAGUCCUUAGGUUCCAGAUACCCUUUAAUUGGACUAGUUUAGUACCUGAUCGGUUUCAAAAUUUGCUUUCACUGUUACCAGAGGUUCAGAAAAUCUCUGAAGUACAAGGGCAAAUUCACAUGCUUCAAAUUAUAUAUCAAGUUGAAAAGUAUGCCUUUCAGACAGCUUAUAGAGUAUCCACCUUAUGUACUAAGUAUGAUGUAUUGUGUUAUAUGACUAAGAUUGUACAACAACCCCAUCAUAUUAUCGCUAUGGGAAUGUUAUUGCUUGUGUUGUUGUUAGCUAGUGUAGGAGCAUGUUAUUGUUGUUGUAAAGGACGUAAUAAUAGUAGUAUCUUUCAUGUCCAUGCUAAUCAUGCAUUGUCAUUACAUCCAAACAAAACCCCUAAGGUUGAAGCAUCUGAAGUAGAAUCUGAAUUCCAAGACUUAAUGCAAAUAGAGAUUUGAAAAUGUUUGUUGUACUAGUAGUACAAAAGGGGGGGUUGUGGAAGCAGAGAAAGAACUGACAGGAAGGGGAUGCAAUGCAUGACAGUACGUUAGCAAGAGUUAGGCUAACUGUAACCCUAAUAACACGAGAUUUGUAGAAGCGAGGAAUGUGUGAGGCGAGUGGGAAAGAACUGUGUGAGAAGUUGUUGCAAUCUUGUGUAGAUAAUAUGGAAUGUAGACUAAGAGUCUACAUUAGUGAGCAAAACAAGAUAUCAGAAUGACCUAUGCUCAUUAUUGUCUGUAACAAAAGGUAUAAAUGCUUGCUGUAAUUGUUUACCUGUUGAGAGACCUGUUUAGCUCUCUCCCUCUAUGCAAUUGAUAGAGAGAAAAUAAAGUAUCUGAUUUGCUGUACCCAAACAAAAAGUGAGAACUCUGUUAU